rnacentral:misc_RNA from 1 species
AGCAUCUUGAGAAACCAGUGGAGAGCCGUGAUGUAGAGGUGGAAGAGACAUUGAGGACUGAUGAGGAAGACACGGAUCAUGAGCAAAAUGAUGUUCGAGCCAUUUCUCCAGAACCAAUCUUGAAUGAGGUAGUUAAGGAGAAAGAGGAGGUGGAGGGGGAGGAGGAAGAAGAAAUAGACGAUGAAGAGGCUGGUUCUUAUUCGCCUGUCUUAAUGCACGGGGAUGAUAUAGAAGAAGCAGUUGAUCCUGAAGAGGACAGGGCGAUACUCGAGAGGAAACGUAUGGCUGUUUUGGAAGAGAGACGUGCCCAAGACAAGAUUUUGCCACCGACUCCUGCAGAAGACAACUUUGAGAAGAAGGCUUCUAAAACUAUGGGAGCAAUGGAGGAAGGGGAUGUAGUAUUUGGCUCAAAUGAUGAAAUUAAUCUUGAUUCACAGGUGUACUGGUGGCAUGACAAGUAUAGGCCAAGGAAGCCUAAGUAUUUCAACCGUGUUCAUACUGGUUAUGAAUGGAACAAGUAUAAUCAAACUCAUUAUGAUCAUGACAACCCACCUCCAAAGAUUGUGCAGGGAUACAAAUUCAAUAUCUUCUAUCCUGAUCUUGUUGACAAAGCAAGAGCUCCAACUUAUGUCAUAGAGAAAGAUGGAGAUAGUGCUGAUACUUGCAUCAUAAAAUUCCAUGCUGGCCCUCCUUAUGAGGACAUAGCUUUCCGAAUUGUUAACAGAGAAUGGGAGUACUCCCAUAAAAAGGGAUUCAAGUGCAUAUUCGACCGAGGAAUUCUGCAUUUGUACUUUAACUUCAAGCGUCACAGAUACCGUCGUUGAUGGGUUUCCAGAAGCACACCGCUUGUUCCAAAGUUCAGUGCUUUGUUAUCCAUUUCUCAUUUAUGUAUUUGUUAGGCCAGCUUGUAUGAUAUGUUCAUUCAUGAACGAAGAAUUUUGUCAACUUGCUAUUAGG